rnacentral:rRNA from 1 species
GACGAACGCUGGCGGCGUGCUUAACACAUGCAAGUCGAACGGAAAGGCCCUGCUUUUGUGGGGUGCUCGAGUGGCGAACGGGUGAGUAACACGUGAGUAACCUGCCCUUGACUUUGGGAUAACUUCAGGAAACUGGGGCUAAUACCGGAUAGGAGCUCCUGCUGCAUGGUGGGGGUUGGAAAGUUUCGGCGGUUGGGGAUGGACUCGCGGCUUAUCAGCUUGUUGGUGGGGUAGUGGCUUACCAAGGCUUUGACGGGUAGCCGGCCUGAGAGGGUGACCGGCCACAUUGGGACUGAGAUACGGCCCAGACUCCUACGGGAGGCAGCAGGGGGGAAUAUUGCACAAUGGGCGGAAGCCUGAUGCAGCAACGCCGCGUGCGGGAAGACGGCCUUCGGGUUGUGAACCGCUUUCGCCUGUGACGAAGCGUGAGUGACGGUAAUGGGUAAAGAAGCACCGGCUAACUACGUG